GCGGGCGUAGCUCAGUGGUAGAGCGCAACCUUGCCAAGGUUGAAGUCGUGAGUUCAAAUCUCAUCGCCCGCU
rnacentral:tRNA from 1 species